UGAAACACCAGACCUUUGCAAAUGAAGUCUAUGGCCGAUCUGACCAGGUGAACGGCGUCAUCAACCUGGGGAACUCCCUGAUUGAGCGUAGCGCUUGUGAUGGCAAUGAAGAGGCCAUGAAGGAGCAACUCGAACGGCUGAAGGAACAUUGGGAUCAUCUGCUUAAGAGAACAACUGACAAAGGGCAGAAGCUCAAUGAGGCCAGUCGUCAACAGAGGUUCAACACAAGCAUCCGGGACUUUGAGUUCUGGCUCUCAGAGGCAGAGACAUUGCUGGCCAUGAAAGAUCAGGCCAGGGACUUGGCUUCAGCAGGAAACCUACUCAAGAAGCAUCAGCUAUUGGAGACAGAGAUGUUGGCUCGAGAGGUAAGUAGUGCUGGGAUUCCUCUCCUCUGGGCAGAAUAGAAACAUUUCUGGCUUUUCUCCCUCCUGUCUUAGGAGACCAUUUGAAAACGUAGCCUUGCAAAAUUGUUCUUAGUGUUCUCAACCAGCAGUCAUUUUAACUAGGUAAAAUUAAUGGGCUGUGAAGACAUUAAAACUGUCACUGAUAAUCAAUUAUCACUAAACUGUAGACUCUAAGAUUCCAGAAAGUGGACUCUAAAAACUAUCUUUUUUAUCUUUUACUGAUGCAUACAUAUAAGCCAAUUAUCUUUAAGCUAUAUAUUUGAUCUGGUAUUUGAAAGAAAGUGGAAGUUUACUUUAUAGAAUUACAAACAAAA
rnacentral:sRNA from 1 species